rnacentral:lncRNA from 1 species
CAACAAAUUAAGGAAUAAAAGGAACAGAUCUCUAGCUUAUCCCUAACAACACACAACAUUCCAGGAAUGUACUACCAAAGUUCUAUCAAUAUUUGAAUGUCCUGGACAUUUAGGGAACAUUCGGUGAACAUAUGUUUAAAUUAUUCCUGGAAUGUUACCAUAAGACAUUCUGUGAACAUACUACCAAUGUUCCUAUAUUUUAAGUUGCGAAAUAAUACAUACGUGUAACAGAUACAACAUUACUUAUAACAUACCAGACAAACUAAGUGACACUUUAGGCCUACAGUGCAAUAAUAUGUCAAAUUUAAAGAGUUUCCCAAGUUCAAUUAAUACAAUAUUAUAAACAUACAAAUGUAAUAAAAAUUAUUGUUCGCGAAUAUUCAAUUUGGAAUGCGAUUUUGUUAAUAAAAAAAAUACUUAUAACUUAUGCAAAACCCAAGAGAGGCAUUUAUAUUUAUUUCUUUUGCGUUCAUUUUCAAAUUCGCCGUGCAUAUAUUUUUGUGCAUGGCGCUUGAGAGGGCAUCACGUGACUAAAAACGACCAACCAACGACCUCGCUUCGGCCAUCUUGGCAUCUUCAUCUUGGCCACCUUGCUUUGCCGUGGGUGGAUCGUUGUUUAGUUGUUUGUAUUAUUUGUGCUUUUUAAGAAUAUUUUUUUAAUUCGGAUACUUUUAUAAUAGCUUUAAUAGUAUUAUUAACAUAGUGAAUAAAAUGGUGUCCUGUUUUUAACGCAGUUGGAGUAGCAGAAACAAAUGUAGAUAAAAAAAUCUGCAGGAAUAACGUUUCAAUUAUGACAGAAGCUCCAAACAAAUGACUGUGAAUGAAAAGCCCUAUUAAAAGCUUUCCAGAAGAUCCUGCGAAGAAGACAUGAAGUAUAGAUCAGAUUUGUUAAUAGAGGAGUAUGUUCAAAACACUUUUUAGAAAAGAUAUUGACAGAACUUCACUUUCAUCUGUUCGUUUCCAAUAGCUUAUGUCACACAGAAUCAGCUGAGAGAAGUGGUCUACAAAAAACCAGAAAGGAAACGGAAUAUGUGGCUACGAAAAGCAAAAGAAAGGUUUACAAAGCAAAUGUGACACAUUUUUUUAUAAUAUUUAGGAAUGUCGGUAAAUUACAUUAAAAAAUGUAUGUAAAGAUUUUUUGCAAUAAAAAUGUUUAUAUUUA